UACGGAGGGUGCAAGCGUUAAUCGGAAUUACUGGGCGUAAAGCGCACGCAGGUGGCUGAGUAAGUCGAUUGUGAAAGCCCUGGGCUUAACCUGGGAAUUGCAUUCGAUACUGCUCAGCUAGAGUAUGGGAGAGGGUAGUGGAAUUCCCGGUGUAGCGGUGAAAUGCGCAGAUAUCGGGAGGAACACCAAUGGCGAAGGCAGCUCGCUGGGACGGUACUGACGCUGAGACGCGAAAGCGUGGGGAGCAAACAGG
rnacentral:rRNA from 1 species